UACGGGGGGAGCAAGCGUUGUUCGGAUUUACUGGGCGUAAAGGGCGCGUAGGCGGCCUCCGCAAGUCAGUUGUGAAAUCUCCGAGCUUAACUCGGAAAGGUCAACUGAUACUGCGGGGCUAGAGUGCAGAAGGGGCAACUGGAAUUCUUGGUGUAGCGGUGAAAUGCGUAGAUAUCAAGAGGAACACCUGCGGCGAAGGCGGCUACCUGGACAAUUGCUGACGCUCAGGCACGAAAGCGUGGGGAGCAAAAGGG
rnacentral:rRNA from 1 species